rnacentral:ncRNA from 2 species
UAGUGAGGUAGAGGCGCGAUAUUUAACAGUCUUUAGAGGAGCUUGAGAGUGCUGUGAUACUAAAGAGAAGGAAAUGUCGCCGAAGUGUGUAAUAGUUCUCGAUGUUACAUGCUGGGUCUGCAGUGAAUAAUUGCAGGACUGUCUCAAUAAAUUGCCUAGUUUAUUGAGUUGUGCUAUCUCAUCA